AUUUCCCAUAACUAAUGAAAUUUAAGUAAAAUUACUCAAAAUGUCCAAGACAUGCUGUUACGCAUGCGCCCUGGGCGACAAUUGCCCCUCCCCCACGUCGCAGAAGCACAACGGCUGAGGAUUCAACGUGUUUGCAGAGGAUCUAUUUCGGUAAAAUCAAGAAUACCAGUUGAUGACUGCUGUCCAGUGGAAAUAUCGAUCAUCUUGCUUGAUAAAACCUCAAUAUAUCAUCAGGAGCAACCGGUAUUAAUUUUGUGCUCCUUGAUAUGUUUUUUCCCUCCAAAAAUGGACAGUCUCUGACUUAAAUUGUAUCAAUCACCAAAGGCCACAUUUUCAGCUAAAAAUCUUCUUUGCUGUUCUGCUGAAGAAAAAUACUCAUGAACAUCUUGGGUGGCGUAAGGAUCUUUGCAGGAUUCAGUCGCAUAUCUCGGAUCUGAGUUCUGCGCAGCACUGGACACAGACUCUGCACUUUUGACAUUUUCUAGAAAAAAA